rnacentral:rRNA from 1 species
GACAGAGGGUGCAAACGUUGUUCGGAAUUACUGGGCGUAAAGCGCGUGUAGGCGGCUAAGUAAGUCGGGCGUGAAAUCCCACGGCUCAACCGUGGAAGUGCACUCGAAACUGCAUAGCUAGAGUCCUGGAGAGGAAGGUGGAAUGCUUGGUGUAGAGGUGAAAUUCGUAGAUAUCAAGCGGAACACCGGUGGCGAAGGCGGCCUUCUGGACAGUGACUGACGCUGAGACGCGAAAGCGUGGGGAGUAAACAGG